AGAUGCUAAACAGGAGGACCUUUUAGUCUGGCACGUGUAGGGAGAAGCACGAUCGGAAUUAUUUCUGUGCGACCAUGAAGGCUUUUUUAAAUAGCAAUAAGCAAUACUAAGCUUCAUAAAGUGCUUUCGUGUAAAGAAUAAAAAAAGCUGAAACGAUGUCAUAUGAACUCAGGAGAGCUUUCCAGUGGUGCCUUACUGAUCAAACAAUUUUUAUUUUGUCUUACAAUUCAAAAUAUAAAAAAAAGUAAUUGAAAUGUUUUAGAUAUAAAUCUUAAAAUGUGUGAUGCUAGGCAAAAAUGUCUGUCUCUUUCAAGUUUUAUGUUAUUCAACCCCUUUCUUUUGUAACCUAAUUUAUUUUUUUAAUAAAGAAGUUGAAUUAUUUUAAAUAUGAA